AGCACCUAAAAGCGUUUUCUUGAUUGCUUUUUAAACGCGCCUGAAAAUCGUAGCUGUGUGCUAGAGCAAUUGCUGCGGUUGCAAGUGUCUUGAUGCCAGUUAAUGCAUCAACUACAUUAACACCUCGCACAAGC
rnacentral:snoRNA from 11 species